GGCUUCGAGGAGGCGGCGGUGGAGGAGCUGGAGUUGGCGUUGCCGGACUUCACCUUCUUCCUGGGCCGGUACUUGUAGUCGGGGUAGUCAGCCAUGUGCUUGAGGCGCAGCCGCUCCGCCUCCCGAAUGAAAGGGAUCUUGUCGCUGUCUUUGAGCAGCUUCCAGCGUUUGCCCAGCCGCUUGGAGAUCUCGGCGUUGUGCAUGUCGGGCGACUGUUCCAUGAUCUUGCGCCGCUCGAUCUGCGACCACACCAUGAAGGCGUUCAUGGGCCGCUUGAUGUGCCCACUUGGCGUCUUGCACCAGCUCGGGUCGUCGGCCUUGCCGCCCGUGGAGGCUGUGGAGCCGGGCGUGGGGGAGGAGGCGAUGCCCAGCUCCAGGCCGGCGCCCGAGUCCGAGCUCUCGCCGGCCAGCAGCGCUUCCGUGUUCUCGGCGUUGUUGGUUUGCUGCACCAUGGCCCCGGCUCCGCGGGCGCCCACGCGCGCUCACACCCUCGCGGCGGCCGCGGCGCGAUCGCCGGGCCCUCCCGGCUCCCGGAGCCAAGCGCACGCCGAGCGGGAGGACGCGUGCGGCUGCGGAGCUGGCCGCUCAACUCCCGGCCGGGGCGGAGGUGGGCGAAGAGCGAAAAGUCACCAAAGGAUGCGGGGUAGGAGUACUCCGCCUCUUGCAGAGGAGUUAUAGUUCCCAGGCUGGAGCGUCUCCCUCCCUCCCUCCCUCUCUCGCUCUUGCUCUUCUCUUUCUCACCGCGCCGCAGUUUGCUCUAUCUCGGCUCGGAGUCCUGGAGACCGUGCUAAAGUGAAGAGGAGUUUCUCGAAUGCUGGUUGCUGAAGCUUCCAGUGCAAGUUUCUCGCCGCCUCCCAGGCAAGUCUGGAUUUUUUUUUUUUUUUUUUUUCUUCCCCUGAAGCAGUUGAUUCCAGUUCACGAGCGCUCUCGGGAGCUCAGGAAAGCGACAUAGUCUCUAUCAUUUAGUCCCUCUCCUGCAAUGCAAAGCAGAAAAGACUCUGGCUCCAGGACUCUCUGUGGGCGGAAUCGGCACUAAGGAGUUUGUGCAAUUAUUUUGUUGCAAGGUAGGAAGCCAAAAAGCCUUCAUGCAACAGACUGGCAUGAAUAAAUGUAUGUUUCCCCCUCCCUUCUGCAAGAAGGGAGCUGGUAAUGGCACAGUUCCUCCGAUGCAGACUCUUAAAGAGCGUGCAAGAACUAGAGACCCGGGAGCGAAACAGGCCUCUCCCCCUCACACACUGUUUCUCUUGCUGCAGCUUAGAGCAGACCCCAAUUCCGCCUCGCGCCUCUUUAUCCUUUCCCAGUCCUGGCCGCAGCCAAUCAGCCGCUGUAACCAACGCUUCCUCGUGCCAAGCCCCUCCCCCGGGCUUCCUAUUGGCUUGGAACCCGAUGCAAUAAUAAUCUCCGCGUGCAAUGAGAAGCUCCAAAUCUGACCUCAUUCCAAUUUACAGAGCAAACUUUUUAAAAGGGCUAGAAGUACAGCUGAGAUUUCUGCUGCCUCUUUUUUCCUUUUGCUGUGCCUGCGUGUGUGCGUUUGUGUGUGUGUCUGUGUAUGUGUGUGUGUGCAGCAUGUGGUGUUUGAAGAGGAUGUUAAUGCAUGAAAUUAUUAAGGGGAGAGACGGAAAUGUAUUCUAACCAUUAUGUUAGAUAACAAGGGGCUUAGAAGGGGGGAGGGUGAAAUACUGUAAAUGGAAGCUUUCUGCUUAAAAGCCAAGUGAUUAUUUUUAUUAGUUCUUUUCAGUAUUGGAAUAAAGAAUCAGCCUCUGGUGCAAAAUCUGUUCCUCGGCUCCUUCAUAAAGCCAAGGAUGUAGAAGGGGGAGGAAAACCACGACAAUAAAUCAAUGGAUAUUGAAAACCAUUAAGAAAGUGGUACCUGGACACCUGUCAUCACAGUUAUUUUAACAACUCGAGGUACAGCACAGAUGUUGAUGUACUGUAUAAAUCCCUUCAGAGCAAUUUGGGUGCUGUUUGUGAAGGCAGAGAAGAAGAAUUUUUGCAAUAAUUAUUUGCUUUCUUAACCAAACAGGGGUUAACUAUGGUUACUUAAUGAUUUAAAUUCGGCUAUAAAUCCUGGAUAGCCUAAACAGAGGAGCUUUCCACUGGAGCACAUUAGGCAGCAUUCUAUACUUAACUCAAGGGGAGAAUUUACAUAGAAUUUUGUGUAAGAUGAUAAAGGAUAGGAAUCGAUUUUACUUUCUAAGUAUUUGCUUUCCACAUUUUCAGAAUUAAAGAUUGCUCCACUCUGUCCUUCUCCCAGCCUAAACCCUCCUCCUUUCCUUUAUAUAUAUUUUCUCCUAUAUAUUAGCUGCUUCAAUCAAAUGGAACUGAAAGACCCAGACAAAGAGAAACUAGAAGGCAGUGGUAGCUGGUUGCAGAAGAAAAUGGAACCUCUGGAUUUACAUUAGAUUUGGUGAUUUAUAUUAGAUCUGGUCGCUAGUCCUUUUUACUGGUCUUGUAACCCUGGGGAUGUGACAAGUAUCAGUUUUCCUCAUCUGUGAUGUGGGAACAGUAGGAACUACUUUAUGUAGGGUGUUUGUGAAGGUUGAAUGAGCUUGAUGUACAGUAAGCCCUCAGUGAAUGCUGUUGUCCUUCCCUGGCUAAUUCACAUUGUGAAGACACUCCCUUUAGUAGAAGCAUGUUGUUCAAGAGACUAAAAUUGAGGAUGGCCACUGAUGUGAAAAAAUAAUCACAGAUCAUAAACAUGAACUAUCCAAGGACCACAUCAGCAAUCCUAUUGUCCUAAUGAUUUGAAAAGAAACUUCAUGAAGAGCCUUGUGAAGAACGCAGCAAAGAAAAUGUGCUUUCGUAGUCAGAAUACAUGCUAAUUUAGCCAUGAAAAUUACCUUUGGUCUAAGUAUCCUCAUGAGAACAAGAAGAAAACGGGUGUUUCCACUGGGCCACGGAGAUUUGAAGCAUAAAUACAAGCUUCUGUCUGCCCCAUUUCGCGAGGCAGGAGCAGGGCACACCCACUGGGAGCCUGGGUUUGCUCUGCCACCAGCCGGCUCCCAAUCCGGGGAGAAGCCGCCGCCAGGUGGCAGCGCUGAGCCUCCCUGCACUCGCAUGGAGACGUGGGAAAACGUGGAGACUGUCAGACUUCUUUCUUCUCCCCCUUCCACCUCUCCCGAACCCUUAUCAUCCCACACUCUUCCAACGUGUUUAGGUAGCAGUUUAAAUGAUCAGAGGUUAUAGAGUGUGUCGAUGAAUCUUGAUGAUUUUUUUUUAAAUCAUAAAUCGAGUUUGGGGCAACGAACAGUUUUGGCCUCCUGUUCACUUGUCAAAGCUCCCAGACACUGGAGACGCCAAGGCUAGCUCCGGUUUGGGUCUAGUAAGUGAACCGGGCAGUUAUCAAUUACCGUGUCCGUAUCUUGCUGAAGCUGCAAGUAGUUAGAAGUCUCUCUCCGAGAGCCGCUGCAAAGGAGGCGCGCUUUACUUAAGGACUGGCAACGGAUACCCCUCCUCCUGGAAAGAUGGUCUCAGCCAGACGCCUGACCGAGCGCAGCGACUCGGUGGCGCAGGCUCGGCGCUCUUCCUGCCCUGAGCUCGGAGAGGAUUCGGCGGGGAUUAAUGGUGCUCAGCCGCGUUCCGCCGCGCCGGCUGAGACUGGCCUUGCGAUUAUGGUUACAGGGAGGAAAUAAAUUGGAAUCGACUCA
rnacentral:lncRNA from 1 species